GAUGAACGCUGGCGGCACGCUUAACACAUGCAAGUCGAACGAAGUGGCGAACGGCUGAGUAACACGUGGGCAACCUGCCCUUCCGUUCGGAAUAGCUACGGGAAACCGUGGGUAAUACCGGAUGCUGAAGGAUGGGCCCGCGGCCUGUUAGCUUGUUGGGGAGGUAACGGCUCACCCAGGCAGUAAUGGGUAGCCGGGUUGAGGGACCGACCGGCCAGAGUGGGACUGGGACAGGGCCCAGACUCCUACGGGAGGCAGCAGUGGGGAAGCUGGCGCAAUGGGCGAAAGCCUGACGCAGCGAUGCCGCGGGCGGGAGGAAGGCCUUCGGGUCGUAAACCGCUUUCAGCAGGGACGCGGUACCUGCAGAAGAAGCCCCGGCUAACUACGUGCCAGCCGCCGCGGUAAUUC
rnacentral:rRNA from 1 species